rnacentral:rRNA from 1 species
GGCCUAUCAGCUAGUUGGUGGGGUAACGGCCUACCAAGGCGACGACGGGUAGCCGGCCUGAGAGGGCGACCGGCCACACUGGGACUGAGACACGGCCCAGACUCCUACGGGAGGCAGCAGUGGGGAAUAUUGCGCAAUGGGCGAAAGCCUGACGCAGCGACGCCGCGUGGGGGAUGAAGGCCUUCGGGUUGUAAACCCCUUUCAGCAGGGACGAAGCGAAAGUGACGGUACCUGCAGAAGAAGCGCCGGCUAACUACGUGCCAGCAGCCGCGGUAACACGUAGGGCGCAAGCGUUGUCCGGAAUUAUUGGGCGUAAAGAGCUCGUAGGCGGUCUGCUACGUCCGCUGUGAAAACCUAGGGCUUAACCCUGGGCUUGCAGUAGAUACGGGCAGACUAGAGGUAGGUAGGGGAGAAUGGAAUUCCCGGUGUAGCGGUGAAAUGCGCAGAUAUCGGGAGGAACACCGGUGGCGAAGGCGGUUCUCUGGGCCUUACCUGACGCUGAGGAGCGAAAGCGUGGGGAGCA